CGUGCUCGGUACUUGCUAGCUACCGGUGUAAUCCGUUGAGGGGUCGGUGUAGCCCGAACUUCAUGGCGUUGAGCGUGCGGUGGUGGUUUCUGCAGUCAGCGGUGAGCGGCUACGGCUCAACCGUAGUGAGCCUUUGAAACUGUGAAACUUGAGUGCUGGAGAAGAGAGUGGAAUUCCUUGUGUCGCGGUGAAAUGCGUAGAUAUUAGGAGGAACACCAGUUGCGAAGGCUGCUCUCUGGACUUUAACUGACACUGAGGCACGAAAGCAUGGGGAGCAAACAGGAUUAGCACCCCUGUAGUC
rnacentral:rRNA from 1 species